rnacentral:misc_RNA from 1 species
CACACGAUUACGAUUCGUCUCAACUCACCGGUAUCAUAAACCUCCUGAAAUUAUAUUUCGUAAAAAUGUCUCUUUCCUGAAUAAGGCAGGCGAAAUGGAAGAUACAGACGGAAUGUCAAGUAACUCUGCCUCAGAAACAGAGAAUUUAAGCAACGAUGCUCCAGCAGGUAAAGAAAAUUCGAGCAGACACAGGUCUCAUAGUAGUAGUCGACACAAGAAGCACAAGCAUAAAAGUAAAAAGAGCCACCACAAGCAUAAGCAUCACAAGGAUAAAGAUGGACACCGUCGGCAUAAGCACAAGCACAAGAAGCACAAGAGCAGGAAGGAGGAAGAGGAACAACCUCCGGCUGCUGUCCCUUUUGCAGUUGAUGAAUCCGAGUCAGAUAUUGAAUUAGAAGAUACCAUUCCUUUGCCUAAAUUUGAGCCAAAAAUUCCCCAGCAGCAAACCAGUCGGCGGGAAGGCCGCAGGAAGGAGAGGGAGUACAUUGAUGAAUCCCUUGCUGCUCUAGAGAAGCAGAAGGAGCUUCUGCAAGCUCAGCUGCUGGCUACAGCUGACGAUGAACACUCUGGAAUGAACUUGAUUGCUCAGGGUUACCAGUCCGAUGAAGAAGAAGAUGAAGACACUGUUCUGAAACAGUCCCUCUCAAAGUGGAUCCAUUCAGGGAGUUCCAAGGAAUCCUCCAAACCAUCCUCAAAAUCAGAAUCUAAAGACAAUGAGCGAUCAGACCGGAGGAAGCGGGAAAGGGAAGAUGAGAGCUCUCAAAAGAAACGACACCGCAGUAAGUCGCCAACCACUGAGCGUUCUUCUAGCAGCAGGGUUGAUAACAGCAAUUCUAAAUCCUCUGAAAGCAGGACUAGUAGAGACAGUCAUUUAUCGAGUGAUAAGAAACAUUCCAAGGACAAAGACAACAGAAGAGAAUCUAGAAAAUCACCAAGUGCCACUAAAUCUGAGCAGAGGGAGCCUAAAGAUGGUAAGGAGUCGAAAGACCGAAGGAAAGCAUCAGUACGUGACACUAGGGGGUCGCCCAAGCGAGAGCACAGAUCAGGAGAGAAAGCUAAAAGGGAGAGUAGCAGGGACUCUAAACCCCACAGGAGCAGGUCUCCAAUAAAAGAGAGGACAUUUACUGAAACUGCAAGGAGUAGACCAAGUCCACCCCGUCGAUCCCCUCCCCCUCGUCGGCCUCCUUCCCCUCCAAGCCGCCGUCCAGACCGAAGUAGAUCCCCCCUUGGUCGAAGGGGGCGGAGUCCCAUCGAGAGGCGGGGCAGGAGCCCCUUGGAGAGGCGAGUAAGAGGCAGCAGGUCGCCAGUCAAUAGGUUUGAUAGAAGGAGGGGGAUAUCCCCGCCAAGGCGGUUUGGAGACAUGUCACGCAAUAGAAGAAGACGAAGUAGGAGUCCUGAUAGACGAGGAAGAAGAAGGUGGGGAAGGAGCAGGAGUAGGUCACCUAGAGAUAAAUUCAAAGGCAGUCUGUCAGAGGGACUGUCAUUGAAACAGGAGUCAUCUGAUGAUGAAAUCCCUGAUGUUGACUUAGAUGAAGAGGAAGAUGAAGAAGCAGUUAUUGAGAGAAGAAGAAGAGAGAGGCAGCAACUAAUGCAGAAAUACAAAGUUGCUGAGGCAGCAGAGAGUGCAGCAUCAAGCCCCGCUCAGGUGCCUUCCGAGCCCACAUCCAACCCACAGUCACCCCAGCCCAGUGAGCAAGAAGAUAGCAGUGAACAGAGCCAGGAUUCAGAGGAUGAUGAAGACGAAGAAGAGGAAGAAGAGGAGGAGGAGGAAGUGGAGAAGGAGGAGGAGAGUGAAAAGAGCAGUUCAUCAGAUUCGGACAAUGACAGCAGUGAAGAAGAAAGCAGGGCCAGCAGUGAUGACGAGGAAGAGGAUGAUAGAGAUACAGCAAGGAUAGAUGAAGAGGAAAGACUCCGGGAAGAGGAGGAGGAGGCGGAGAGAGAGAGGAGGAGGGAGUUGGAGAGGAAGAGAUUAAAGGAGGCGUUUCCUCAGAGUGAUAGUGAGGAUGAGGAUUCAACCACUAAAGAUGUUGAAGGGAGUAUGGACAAGAACUUGAGCGAUAUUGUCAAACCCAAAUCAGAUAAAGAGCAAGCAACAGCUAAAAAUGGACUGGACAUGUUUAGUGAGGUGGAUAUGUUCAAGAUGAGUCCAUCCACUCGUGAGGGCAUUGGACAGAUGGGACCUGAGAACCCAAGUCUCACUGAUAAUUGGGAUGAUGCUGAAGGAUAUUAUCGGGUGCGUAUUGGAGAGAGCCUUGACAAGCGCUAUACAGUGUAUGGCUACACUGGUCAGGGUGUGUUCAGUAAUGUGGUCAGAGCAAGGGACACAGCCAGAGGUCAGCUGGACGUGGCCAUCAAGAUCAUCCGUAACAAUGAACUCAUGCAAAAGACUGGCCUGAAAGAACUAGAGUAUCUCAGGCGACUCAAUGACCAGGACAGGGAAGAUAAGUUUCAUUGCGUUCGUCUCUUCAGAUCUUUCAGUUACAGGCAGCAUCUUUGUCUUGUCUUUGAACCACUAAGUAUGAACCUUCGAGAGGUGUUGAAGCGAUAUGGCAAGGAUGUAGGGUUACACAUCAAGGCAGUAAGGUCGUACACUCAGCAGCUGUUCCUAGCCCUCAAACUGCUCAAAAGAUGCAACAUCCUGCAUGCUGAUAUCAAACCGGAUAAUAUUCUGGUGAAUGAAUCAAAGACAAUCCUAAAACUCUGUGAUUUUGGUUCAGCCUCACAUGUAGCUGAUUGUGACAUCACUCCAUAUCUUGUCAGCAGAUUCUAUCGUGCUCCUGAAAUAAUCAUUGGUAUGAGCUACGAUGCAGCCAUAGAUCUCUGGAGCACAGCCUGCACCAUCUUUGAACUAGCCGCCGGUAAGAUCAUGUUCCCUGGCAAGACCAACAAUCACAUGCUGAAACUCUUCAUGGACCUCAAGGGCAAGAUGCCCCAUCGGAUAAUCCGCAAGGGCAUGCUGCGGGACAAGCACUUCGACUCCAACUGCAACUUCAAGUAUGUGGAAGUGGACAAGGUCACAGAGAGGGAGAAAGUGACUGUGAUGACCGUCAUCAACCCGACCAAAGACCUGACCACGGAGCUGCUGGGUUACCAACGUUUACCAGAUGACCAACAACGCAAGGUUCUGCAACUCAAGGAUGUGUUAGACCGGUGUCUCAUGUUAGAUCCUUCAAAGCGGAUCUCCAUCAGCGAAGUGCUACGACAUUCUUUCAUCCAGGAGAAGAUCUAAACGGGGGCAAGGGUAUCCCCUUCUGGGGUCCCCUCCCAGCCUUGCCCUGAAUGACGCACUCCAUGUGGUGCUAGACGAGCGGUAGUAGUACUCUUGAGAUGUCAUUAGCCAUCAGGUUUCCACAUGGCAACCUCUCUUUAUUGUACUUUACGUUGACUGCAGAAUGUUCUUGCUUCAACUCAGGUUCUGUAAUAGAGCUAUGUUCCGUAUCAUAGCUUAUUUUUUACAUUUAUUAAUCAUUUUAAAGAUGACCAUCUGAAUUUUAGAAGAUUUUGCUUUGUAUAUUUGUGGAUGUGCAUAGAGUGCAUAAGCUAUUUUUCUGCAGGUGUUAAUGGGUAAAUCUUCAUAUGGGGUACUCUCUCUUCAGAGUGCUGUGUGAGUUCAUGUCGUACUUUUUAUAUUAUAUUGCACGAUUUAUUUUGUAUUCAAUUGUGGUUCCUGAGAGCGUGAUUGGACAGGCAGCUUUUGAAGAAGAGAAGGUAAGAGGUCAUUAAUUGAGGUAAGUUUUUAGAAGUUUGAGAAAUCAGUGAAACUUUUUUUUCAAGAGGUGGGGGACCUGCUACCCCAACUUCUCAGGCCAACAAGAUUUGAGCUUUUUCAUUAAUAUUUACCCCAUUUAUAAAUUAUUUGAUUCCAACGAGUAUUACAUAACUGAAAUAAUCAAGUGAAAGUAUUUUCCAUUUUCUUCUUAUUUGUUGAUACUUUCUUUUCAUACUAAUUGGAAUAGAUCAUAGAUAUCUUGCUCAUUAUUUCAAUCAUUUCUCAAGAGCUACCAUAGAGACUUCUCAUUGUACACAUCAGUUUGUAAGAAAUUGCUUUUUUUAAGAAAUAGGUUCAGCUGAUUUGUUUUCUUGUGUUCUUCUUCCAGAACUGUUCGGCUGCCGAGGGCACACCGGGUUGUACAACACAGAACUAUUAAAAUCAUGUCGCUGGUUCAACUGGGGAGUGCUCAGCUCAAGCAGAGUUUGUUUAUAAAGUGCAUUGUCAGUAGCAGAACUGUGCAGGGUAAAGUACAUGUGUGAAUGGAGUGUGUUAAUUUCAAUGAUUAUGUACUAUGAUAUGCAUGUAAAUAUUACUGAAGGGGGAAAUCCCAACACGGGAAAGGGGGAAAGCCCCCAGUGGGAAAUUCCUAGAGGGAAAUCACAAAUGUGUCUAUACAGGCUGGCAUUGCAGGGAUAGAUACCCCGGUAUAUUAUCAUUUUAUGACUUGAGUCUAAUUAUGAUUUAAAGUUUGAUAAAAUUGCACAUUUAAUAUUCUGAUAGCAAAUUUGACUUAAAAACUGAAUCUGGCAGAUCAAAUCUGAAAUAAUUACCAUUUUGAAUGUCAGGUUGCUAUAUUGAAUAAGAACAGUUUAAAUGAUAAUCAGCUCUCCUCUUCAUCACCAUAUGCCUGUAUUUAAAGCUUAGAUCAUUUUAAAGUGUGUGAAAUGUUGGUAUUUAAUUCUGAUGUUAAACAUGCACCCCUGUCUUUUUCCUCGGCUGUCAGUUUAUUCAAACCAAACUUAUUUUGUCUUGUGCGUUGUAUAGGAUAUAUUCACUACAGUUUGCUUUAGGAACUGAAUUGACUGGUUUUAUGCUUGUAUAAGUCAAUAUCAAGACUGUUUUCCUAUGUUUAAAGUACAAAAGAUUGGUGAUAUUGUCGUAUGUCAUACAUGUACAAGUAUGUAUGACAAGAAUGAAUGAUUCUUAAUGUUGGGGUCAGAUAAUUUGUUACACAUUACUAUGAUGUUUUCUUUUUCUGUUUUGAUAUUUUUUUGUAUAUAGUCUUGAAAAAGAGCACAAUCAAUAUCUAUCAUUGAUUUUUUUAAUGGUAUCUGUAGAAGCAAAUAGAUGAUAUUCUGUUAAAAUGGAUUUCAUUUGAACUUUGAUCUUGUAAGAGAGGACGGAUCAUGUAAAGUUUCUGAAAAGAUCAAGAAUAUGUGAAAAAAAUGUUACGAAAUACAACUUAGAUGGAAAAC